UCUGGCGGCAGUAGGCGGUGGUCCCACCUGACCCCAUGCCGAACUCAGAAGUGAAACGCCGUAGCGCCGAUGGUAGUGUGGGGUCUCCCCAUGCGAGAGUAGGGAACUGCCAGAC
rnacentral:rRNA from 1 species